UACGUAGGGGGCUAGCGUUGUCCGGAAUCAUUGGGCGUAAAGCGCGCGUAGGCGGCCAGAUAAGUCCGGUGUGAAAGUCACAGGCUCAACCUGUGAAUGCCGCUGGAAACUGUCUGGCUAGAAUCCGGAAGAGGCGAGUGGAAUUCCUGGUGUAGCGGUGAAAUGCGCAGAUAUCAGGAGGAACACCAAUGGCGAAGGCAGCUCGCUGGGACGGUAUUGACGCUGAGACGCGAAAGCGUGGGGAGCAGACAGG
rnacentral:rRNA from 1 species